UUACCAGUGGGUACAAAAUUACCAUUGGAUCCCUCACCUAAUAGUUAUGGGUCCAACCCCAUUUCUAUCUCAAGGCAUUUAAUGCCAAUAAAGUGGUUAUACUUUUCUGAUGCAAUCAAACCACUGUAACCAGUCGAGAAUGAUCAAUGCUAAGAAGGCACUCAUAUCUCUACAAUGAUGGAAGACCGCUAGACUUAAUAUUUAGUGAGGAGAUUUUGAUUUAGAUCUCUUCUAAAUCAGCAGAUCUGUUAUCUAACAAACUAAGUUUAGAUC
rnacentral:lncRNA from 1 species